AACGAACGCUGGCGGCAUGCCUAACACAUGCAAGUCGAACGAGACCUUCGGGUCUAGUGGCGCACGGGUGCGUAACGCGUGGGAACCUGCCCUUAGGUUCGGAAUAACUCCCCGAAAGGUGUGCUAAUACCGGAUAAUGUCUUCGGACCAAAGAUUUAUCGCCUUUGGAUGGGCCCUCGUUGGAUUAGCUAGUUGGUAGGGUAAAAGCCUACCAAGGCGACGAUCCAUAGCUGGUCUGAGAGGAUGAUCAGCCACACUGGGACUGAGACACGGCCCAGACUCCUACGGGAGGCAGCAGUGGGGAAUAUUGGACGAGGGGCGAAAGCCUGAUCCAGCAAUGCCGCGUGAGUGAUGAAGGCCGUAGGGUUGUAAAGCUCUUUUACCCGGGAUGAUAAUGACAGUACCGGGAGAAUAAGCACCGGCUAACUCCGUG
rnacentral:rRNA from 1 species